UACGUAGGGACCGAGCGUUGUCCGGAAUCAUUGGGCGUAAAGAGCGUGUAGGCGGCCCCUUAAGUCCUGCGUGAAAUCCUGCGGCUCAACCGCAGACGGUCGUGGGAAACUGGAGGGCUAGAGUGCGGGAGAGGAGAGUGGAAUUCCCGGUGUAGCGGUGAAAUGCGCAGAUAUCGGGAGGAACACCGGUGGCGAAGGCGGUUCUCUGGGCCUUACCUGACGCUGAGGAGCGAAAGCGUGGGGAGCGAACAGG
rnacentral:rRNA from 1 species